CAAAGGCCGAGGAGCGGCUGUUUGCUCCUGACGGCUGGAUUUGAACCUCUUUGCUCCAGCUGCUCAGCCCUGUCUCUCUGCUGGGAUGGCUGGGUUCUUCUCGAGCCCAGAGUCACAGCGUUUGAUUGUCUCCUAAUACAGCCAGACACUGGUAGCUACCACCAUGCUGUUCAAACACGUCAUCAGAGGCAAAUCUCUGCUAGUAUGCAAAGUUUUAGACACAGGCUGCCAAUGCUCAGCUGAUGAAGAAAUGUUCAGUAGUAAGCAAGCGUAUUAGCCAGCAGCUAUAGCAAUGCCAGGUUGGAGUGUCUGCCUACCAGGCUGAACCAGACUGACAAAUGAAAAUCCAUGUUCAGCAAGCCUAGCAAAGUCCUUGCUCCUGCUGCAAACCAGAGGGCAUCUGCUGCAUCUGGGCACUGAGAUGUUCCCUGGCGACACUGCUUUACUUGCACCCAUUCGGCAUUUGUUUCUGCCUUGUGUGCAGUGAAGAGGAAACUGGUGGUGGUUUGUUACUGGACCCUUCCUGGUAGCAGAGGUGGCUCUGGAUUUCCCAAGGGAACAACUCAAGCACCCUUUUAUCAUCUUGAAACUCAGUGGCAGAGUCAGAGGGAAGAAAUAGGCAAGGGAGAGAUGGCUCAUGCAAGCAUGCUUUGGGGAAGAAGAAGAGGUAGCAGGGCACAGCAAAGAAUUGCAUGAGACCAGCAGCUAAAAAAAAAGGUGGGCCUGGCUGGACAGAGGAGCAGAGAAGAAUAAGACCUGGAGAACAGAUCCUGUGCAGCUUUCAGAAGGACAGAAUGCACGGAGUGGGGUGAUGGCCUCUUUUCCCCUUUGGGAGAGCAGCUCCUCACGUGAGUAAUUCAAUAUUCAGCAGCACAGAUACCUUUGCUGUUUGAUCCUCACUGCACUGAGGCAUUAGAUGCUAUAUGUUCUGGGUAAAUUAAGAAGUUUCUUCCUUCAUUUUGUUGUCCUGCCCCUACCACCUCAGUGGUCUCCCUUGUGU
rnacentral:lncRNA from 1 species